UGGGAAUAACAGCUGGAAACAGCUGCUAAUACCGCAUAAUAUAUCUGUGUCGCAUGGCACUGGAUAUCAAAGAUUUAUCGCUCUGAGAUGGACUCGCGUCUGAUUAGCUGGUUGGCGGGGUAACGGCCCACCAAGGCGACGAUCAGUAGCCGGACUGAGAGGUUGGCCGGCCACAUUGGGACUGAGACACGGCCCAGACUCCUACGGGAGGCAGCAG
rnacentral:rRNA from 1 species